ACUAUAAGUCUCCUGAAGGAACGUUGAAGACGACGACGUUGAUAGGCCGGGUGUGUAAGCGCAGCGAUGCGUUGAGCUAACCGGUACUAAUGAACCGUGAGGCUUAACCUUACAACGCCGAAGGUGUUU
rnacentral:rRNA from 1 species